rnacentral:rRNA from 1 species
AUUGAACGCUGGCGGCAUGCUUUACACAUGCAAGUCGAACGGCAGCGCGGGCUUCGGCCUGGCGGCGAGUGGCGAACGGGUGAGUAAUGCAUCGGAACGUGCCCAGUAGUGGGGGAUAGCCCGGCGAAAGCCGGAUUAAUACCGCAUACGACCUGAGGGUGAAAGCGGGGGACCGAAAGGCCUCGCGCUAUUGGAGCGGCCGAUGUCGGAUUAGCUAGUUGGUGGGGUAAAGGCUUACCAAGGCGACGAUCCGUAGCUGGUCUGAGAGGACGACCAGCCACACUGGGACUGAGACACGGCCCAGACUCCUACGAGAGGCAGCAGUGGGGAAUUUUGGACAAUGGGGGCAACCCUGAUCCAGCCAUGCCGCGUGCGGGAAGAAAGCCUUCGGGUUGUAAACCGCUUUUGUUCGGGAAGAAAUCCUCUGGGCUAAUACCCCGGGGGGAUGACGGUACCGGAAGAAUAAGCACCGGCUAACUACGUG